rnacentral:lncRNA from 1 species
AAAUAUUUUGCAUGUUUUAAUUGAGAAAUAUCAUUGUUUUUAAUUUGUCCUAACUUGUUUUUAAACAAAGUAAACAUUCACAAUGAUAAAAAGGAUACUGGGGAUGUCUUCAGUGCUCUCCCAAAGACGGUAUGAUUCUCAACAGGGUAAGACAUUUGUUCAUAUUCCUGGCAUGCUUGUGUCCUCUUCCUCCGGAGCCUUUUGUGGUUUUGCUCCCGAGUAGAGUGUUUGGUAAAG